rnacentral:misc_RNA from 1 species
CAACCCUCAAGCGCUGCAGCUUGGUGCUGGGGCCCUGCGUUAGCAGGCCCUGAAAGACAUUGGCAGGGCUUCAGUGAACCCAAGCGUAGUAAUUCUCUCGCUUAGGGCUUUACAGAAACUCUCCGCCGUAAACCUCCAUUAAUUUAUACG